rnacentral:rRNA from 1 species
ACCAGCAGCAAUAUCACCCUGUAGUCCAAGACUGGUUGCCCACUGAAGCAAAGCAGGCUUGAGCCUGGUCAGUACCUGGAUGGGAGACCACCUGGGAAAACUUGCUGCUGGAA